CUACGGGGCGCACCAGUGAGGAAUAUUGCACAAUGGGGGGAACCCUGAUGCAGCAACGCCGCGUGGAGGAUGACGCAUUUCGGUGUGUAAACUCCUUUUAUAUGUCAAGAAAAUGACGGUAGCAUAUGAAUAAGCACCGGCUAACUCCGUGCCAGCAGCCGCGGUAAUACGGAGGGUGCAAGCGUUACUCGGAAUCACUGGGCGUAAAGGACGCGUAGGCGGGUUGGAAAGUCAGGUGUGAAAUCCUACAGCUUAACUGUAGAACUGCACUUGAAACUUCUAAUCUAGAGUAUGGGAGGGGGAGAUGGAAUUAGUGGUGUAGGGGUAAAAUCCGUAGAUAUCACUAGGAAUACCUAAAGCGAAGGCGAUCUCCUGGAACAUUACUGACGCUAAGGCGUGAAAGCGUGGGGAGCAAACAGGAUUAGAUACCCCCGUAGUC
rnacentral:rRNA from 1 species